AGCGAACGCUGGCGGCAGGCCUAACACAUGCAAGUCGAACGAUCCUUCGGGGCAGUGGCGGACGGGUGAGUAACACGUGGGAACGUGCCCUUUGGUUCGGAACAACUCAGGGAAACUUGAGCUAAUACCGGAUGUGCCCUUCGGGGGAAAGAUUUAUCGCCAUUGGAGCGGCCCGCGUAGGAUUAGCUAGUUGGUGGGGUAAUGGCCCACCAAGGCUCCGAUCCUUAGCUGGUCUGAGAGGAUGAUCAGCCACACUGGGACUGAGACACGGCCCAGACUCCUGCGGGAGGCAGCAGUGGGGAAUCUUGCGCAAUGGGCGAAAGCCUGACGCAGCCAUGCCGCGUGAAUGAUGAAGGUCUUAGGAUUGUAAAAUUCUUUCACCGGGGACGAUAAUGACGGUACCCGGAGAAGAAGCCCCGGCUAACUUCGUGCCAGCCGCCGCGGUAAAAC
rnacentral:rRNA from 1 species